UACUGAGGUCCCAAGCGUUGUUCGGAUUCACUGGGCGUAAAGGGUGCGUAGGUGGUGAGGUAAGUCGGAUGUGAAAUCUCCGAGCUCAACUCGGAAAUGGCAUUGGAAACUACCUUGCUCGAGGGUUGGAGGGGGGACUGGAAUACUUGGUGUAGCAGUGAAAUGCGUAGAUAUCAAGUGGAACACCAGUGGCGAAGGCGAGUCCCUGGACAACUCCUGACACUGAGGCACGAAAGCUAGGGGAGCAAACAGG
rnacentral:rRNA from 1 species